UGUUUUCCUACACUGCAGCUGAACAUCACUGUUAUAUAAAGCUGACUGCCUAGGCAUCUCCAGGACAACACCUCAAGCUCUUGGCAUCUUGCAUUUUGCAUCAGUGCCCCAUCUGCUUCCCUAAGAUUGAGCUGUAACACAGACAAGUGGAUGUUUUGCUGCGGGAUGAACAUUUAGCAGGGUCUGCCUCUUCCUCCUGUGUUGUGACCUAAUUCCUCCGCACAGGGAGUAAGGUCAGAAGUUGAAAAGGCCAUGGUCAUUCAGCUGGGCACUGGAGAACUCAUGAUUUGUUCUUUUUAGACGAGCCCACACCAGUUAUCCUAUUGAAAGAGGGGACUGAUAGCUCCCAAGGCAUCCCCCAGCUUGUGAGUAACAUCAGUGCCUGCCAGGUGAUUGCUGAAGCUGUAAGAACCACCCUGGGUCCCCGUGGCAUGGACAAGCUUAUUGUGGAUGGCAGAGGCAAAGCAACAAUUUCUAAUGAUGGGGCCACAAUUCUGAAACUUCUUGAUGUUGUCCAUCCUGCAGCAAAGACUUUGGUAGACAUUGCCAAAUCCCAAGAUGCUGAGGUAGGAAAAUAGUUGUGUGUUUAAAUGGAGG